GAGGUAGCUCAGUGGUUAAGGGGUCGGACUUUUGGUCGGGAGGUGAGGGGUUCGAAUCU
rnacentral:tRNA from 1 species